CCUACGGGAGACUGCAGUGAGGAAUAUUGGUCAAUGGGCGAGAGUCUGAACCAGCCAAGUCGCGUGAUGGAGUACUGCCCUAUGGGUUGUAAACCUCUUUUGUCGGGGAGUAAAAUCCUGCCGUGUUCGGCUGUUAUAUUACCCGAAGAAAAAGGAUCGGCGAACUCCGUGCCAGCCGCCGCGGUAAUACGGGGGAUGCGAGCGUUAUCCGGAUUUAUUGGGUUUAAAGGGUGCGCAGGCGGAUUUUUAAGUCAGCGGUCAAAUCGUGGGGCUCAACCCCAUCCAGCCGUUGAGACUGGGGAGCGAGAGUGUGCGAGAGGUAGGCGGAGUGCGUGGUGGAGCAGUGGA
rnacentral:rRNA from 1 species